AUUGAACGCUGGCGGCAGGCCUAACACAUGCAAGUCGAGCGAGCGGCGGACGGGUGAGUAAUGUAUGGGGACUGCCCGCUAGAGGGGGAUAACUACUGGAAACGGUAGCUAAUACCGCAUACUAUCGGAUAACCCAUAUGGGAUUAGCUCUUAGGUGAGGUAAUGGCUCACCUAGGCGACGAUCCCUCGCUGGUCUGAGAGGAUGAUCAGCAACACUGGGACUGAGACACGGCCCAGACUCCUACGGAGGCAGCAGGGGGGAAUAUUGCACAAUGGGCGCAAGCCUGAUGAAGCAAUGCCGCGUGUAUGAAGAAGGCCUUCGGGUUGUAAAGUACUUGCAGUGGGGAGGCGUUACCGACAGAAGAAGCACCGGCUAACUCCGUGCCAGCAGCCGCGGUAAUAC
rnacentral:rRNA from 1 species